CCAGAUGUGACAUUAUGUGUUGGAACUGGAGCAGUCUUUGAACUUUGCUUAGACUUUGAACUGUCAGAGUUUAAACCUCUUCCACCAGUUGCAGCUUGGAAUCUUUUGUUCUUUGUAAAGUCAUCCACAUCAUCAUCAUCAUCAUUUUUCUUUCUCUUCAGAGCUUGAGAAGUAGACUUGCAUUUGACUUGUGCUACUCUCUCCCCCUUUUUGACAUCAUCCUCAUCAGGAAUCAGUAUUGAAGUUAUCAGAGAAAGUGAAGAUUGGAUGGCUUCAAGCUGUUUGGACAUUUUCUCUUGAGUAGACUCAAUGGUGG
rnacentral:lncRNA from 1 species